CUGCGGUCUGUGCUGUUCUGAUUCUUGGGGCUAAUGGACCACAGCUUUUACAUCAAGCUACAGUUAGAAUAGGAUGUGGAGACGGAGACACCAAUGUGGCAGAAUCACGAGUAUUAAAGAAGUAACAUCACAUGCAUGACGUCACUGAACGCAGUGAAAGCAAGAACAGUCCUAUAGAGCAACUAUUACUACAACAUUAUUUUUGAUGAUGAAAGGACCCAGGUGGGUUUUCAGUCUCCAGGCUGAGGUUGCAAGGC